rnacentral:rRNA from 1 species
UACAGAGGUCUCAAGCGUUGUUCGGAUUCAUUGGGCGUAAAGGGUGCGUAGGCGGCGCGGUAAGUCGGGUGUGAAAUCUCGGAGCUUAACUCCGAAACUGCAUUCGAUACUGCCGUGCUUGAGGACUGGAGAGGAGACUGGAAUUUACGGUGUAGCGGUGUAAAUGCGUAGAUAUCGUAAGGAAGACCAGUGGCGAAGGCGGGUCUCUGGACAGUUCCUGACGCUGAGGCACGAAGGUCAGGGGAGCAAACGGG